CACACUUACAGCAGGUAAUACAAUGAAUGCAUCUAUUGUGGAUCCAAAUGUAAGUGGACCCCCCCCCCCCCCGGGGAAUAAAUAAUCUUAGUCAGAGAUUACAGAUGAAGUCAUAGUAGAUACUAUGUGGUCAAAGGGUGAAAAAAUCAAGAUAAUGUUUGCUCUUUGCACAUACCCCACCCUUUACACGCCAUUCUCAUGAAGAGACAAAAAGAUGCACACAAUGUAUUUUACAUGUGGUUCUUGUUUUGAAUUUAUGGCGACCUUAAAGUGACUCUGUCACAGGGUUUCCUUGGCAAGAUUUUUCAGUGACAAUAAGCAAAGCAAAGCUUAAAACUUAAUAAUGAAUAGAAUAGAAUAGAAUAGAAUAGAAUAGAAUAGAAUAGAAUAGCAUAACAUAGCAUAGCAUAGAAUAGAAUAGAAUAGAAUAGAAUAGAAUAGAAUAGAAUAGAAUGGAGUUUUCCCGGCAAGGACACAUGAACUCCCCUUCUAAAGGGAAAGCCCUCCCCUCCUUCUCUUUCAAAGUUUCAAUUCAGGGCCAGCUCGCUCACUCGAUCAUGCUGACUUGCAAGGGCGAGAUGGCGUAGGAGUAGAGCAGCAGCAUGAAGCUGGUCAGGAAGGUGCACAGCGCCAGCCCUUGCCCAUGCAGUGCCAGUUCUUCUUUUGGGGCAGCAUGGCCAUCACCUACGAGUGGAGUCGGGGGAAAAAGACAGUAAAAAUUAGCUGCAGAAGGAGCAAUGAGGGAUGGUGGCAGGAAGGGUGGUGAGCUGAGCGUGAGCCUUUCCUCAUUCUUUGUCCAUCCUUCUCUUUCCACCCUUCCUUUCAAAUCCUCUUUCAGAGGGUGAGCCUUCUGUCAUUGGGUGGAGAUACGUUUCAAAAUACUAAUACACGUUAGGGAAGAUUCCAACAAACAAUGGAAAGCAAUAAAUGCCUUAAUACAUGAUUCUAAACAUAUUCAAAUAGCAAACCAACUGGUUCCCAAAAGAAGCCAACAGAAGCCAACAUCGAAGACCAAUUUAUAAUCCCCAAAUUAGAUAAUAACAUAACCUAUCACAUAACAUAACAUCACCUAACAUCUAACCUAAAAACAUUGAGGACAUUAAACAUCAAUUUAUAUGAAACCACAUUUCAAUUAAAAAUAGUAAUUAAAAUGAUUAUGUAACCAAAAAACCAACAGAGCCAACAAAGCUGACUGAAGCUGAACCAGCAGAGCCAGAGUAUAAUACGAUUUCCGGAUAUGUGUGGAUUCCUACCCUGGUCUGUACUAACUAGCAGUAAUUAUCUAAAAGUUUUCUCAACUGUAGCCAAGAACUGAGGCUGAAACCUUUUGCAAGGAAAGCAUGUGCUCAACCACAGAGCUACAACCCUUCUCUUAAGCACUCUCAUACCAUUUGUGCAUUUUCCCAGCUUUAUACCAAAUAAAAACAUAAACAAUUAUAA